rnacentral:lncRNA from 1 species
CCCUAUUCCACACGCAACAGAUCCCCUCCAUGGAAGGACCCUAUUCCACACGCAACAGAUCCCCUCCAUGGAAGGACCCUAUUCCACACGCAACAGAGCUGAUCCCCUCCAUGGAAGGACCCUAUUCCACACGCAACAGAUCCCCUCCAUGGAAGGACCCUAUUCCACACGCAACAGAUCCCCUCCAUGGAAGGACCCUAUUCCACACGCAACAGAGCUGAUCCCCUCCAUGGAAGGACCCUAUUCCACACGCAACAGAUCCCCUCCAUGGAAGGACCCUAUUCCACACGCAACAGAGCUGAUCCCCUCCAUGGAAGGACCCUAUUCCACACGCAACAGAGCUACUUCCCCUCCAUGGAAGGACCCUAUUCCACACGCAACAGAGCUGGUCCCCCUCCAUGGAAGGACCCUAUUCCACACGCAACAGAGCUGAUCCCCCUCCAUGGAAGGACCCUAUUCCACAUGCAACAGAUCCCCUCCAUGGAAGGACCCUAUUCCACACGCAACAGAUCCCCUCCAUGGAAGGACCCUAUUCCACACGCAACAGAUCCGGCCCUCCAUGGAAGGACCCUAUUCCACACGCAACAGAUCCCCUCCAUGGAAGGACCCUAUUCCACAUGCAACAGAUCCCCUCCAUGGAAGGACCCUAUUCCACAAGCAACAGAUCCCCUCCAUGGAAGGACCCUAUUCCACACGCAACAGAUCCCCUCCAUGGAAGGACCCUAUUCCACACGCAACAGAUCCCCUCCAUGGAAGGACCCUAUUCCACACGCAACAGACUUCCCCUCCAUGGCAGGACCCUAUUCCACAUGCAACAGAUCCCCCUCCAUGGAAGGACCCUAUUCCACACGCAACAGAUCCCCUCCAUGGAAGGACCCUAUUCCACACGCAACAGAUCCCCUCCAUGGAAGGACCCUAUUCCACACGGAACAGAGCUGAUCCCCUCCUUGGAAGGACCCUAUUCCACACGCAACAGAUCCCCUCCAUGGAAGGACCCUAUUCCACACGCAACAGAUCCCCUCCAUGGAAGGACCCUAUUCCACACGCAACAGAUCUGAUCCCCUCCAUGGAAGGACCCUAUUCCACAUGCAACAGAGCUGGUCCCCCUCCAUGGAAGGACCCUAUUCCACACGCAACAGAUCCCCUCCAUGGAAGGACCCUAUUCCACACGCAACAGAGCCGAGCCCCUCCAUGGAAGGACCCUAUUCCACACGCAACAGAUCCCCUCCAUGGAAGGACCCUAUUCCACAC